CGAUGAAACUCAAAGGAAUUGACGGGGGCCCGCACAAGCGGAGGAACAUGUGGUUUAAUUCGAUGAUACGCGAGGACCCUUACCCGGGUUUAAAUGGGAAAAGACAGAUGUGGAAACAUGUUAUCUCUUCGGAGCUUUUUUCAAGGUGCUGCAUGGUUGUCGUCAGCUCGUGCCGUGAGGUGUCGGGUUAAGUCCCAUAACGAGCGUAACCCUUACCGUUAGUUGCCAUCAGUUCAGCUGGGCACUCUAGCGGGACUGCCACCGUAAGGUGAGAGGAAGGCGGGGAUGACGUCAAAUCAGCACGGCCCUUACACCCGGGGCUACACACGUGUUACAAUGGCCGGCACAGAGGGUCGCUACCCAGUGAUGGGAUGCCAAUCUCAAAAUCCGGUCUUAGUUCGGAUUGGAGUCUGUAACCCGACUCCAUGAAGUUGGAUUCGCUAGUAAUCGCGCAUCAGCCAUGGCGCGGUGA
rnacentral:rRNA from 1 species